rnacentral:rRNA from 1 species
GACGAACGCUGGCGGCGUGCUUAACACAUGCAAGUCGAACGGAAAGGCCCUGCUUUUGUGGGGUGCUCGAGUGGCGAACGGGUGAGUAACACGUGAGUAACCUGCCCUUGACUUUGGGAUAACUUCAGGAAACUGGGGCUAAUACCGGAUAGGAGCUCCUGCUGCAUGGUGGGGGUUGGAAAGUUUCGGCGGUUGGGGAUGAACUCGCGGCUUAUCAGCUUGUAGGUGGGGUAGUGGCUUACCAAGGCUUUGACGGGUAGCCGGCCUGAGAGGGUGACCGGCCACAUUGGGACUGAGAUACGGCCCAGACUCCUACGGGAGGCAGCAGUGGGGAAUAUUGCACAAUGGGCGGAAGCCUGAUGCAGCAACGCCGCGUGCGGGAUGACGGCCUUCGGGUUGUAAACCGCUUUCGCCUGUGACGAAGCGUGAGUGACGGUAAUGGGUAAAGAAGCACCGGCUAACUACGUG